AUUGAACGCUGGCGGCAGGCCUAACACAUGCAAGUCGAGCGGAUGAAGGGAGCUUGCUCCUGGAUUCAGCGGAGGACGGGUGAGUAAUGCCUAGGAAUCUGCCUGGUAGUGGGGGAUAACGUCCGGAAACGGGCGCUAAUACCGCAUACGUCCUGAGGGAGAAAGUGGGGGAUCUUCGGACCUCACGCUAUCAGAUGAGCCUAGGUCGGAUUAGCUAGUUGGUGGGGUAAAGGCCUACCAAGGCGACGAUCCGUAACUGGUCUGAGAGGAUGAUCAGUCACACUGGAACUGAGACACGGUCCAGACUCCCACGGGAGGCAGCAGUGGGGAAUAUUGGCCCAUGGGCGAAAGCCUGAUCCAGCCAUGCCGCGUGUGUGAAGAAGGUCUUCGGAUUGUAAAGCACUUUAAGUUGGGAGGAAGGGCAGUAAGUUAAUACCUUGCUGUUUUGACGUUACCAACAGAAUAAGCACCGGCUAACUUCGUG
rnacentral:rRNA from 1 species